AUCGAUUUUUGACUGUUGGAAUAUAAACAAUUGUUAGAAUAUACCAUAAAUCAAUACGGAUGUCCUUUGACUGCUCGCCAAAAUCCUUUUUGUCCCAGCUGGUAGGUCUCUAGACAUUACAGAGAACCCCGAACAACCCAAUCUGCUAAUCUUCGAUACCGCUUUAUACUCACGAUCUUGUAUCCACUGACUGUCUUGUUAGAUUAACCCAAAAAUUUUCAUUCACUCCGCAUACUCAAUCCUAUAGACAUCCUUUUAAUUCUUCAAUCAUAGACGUAACUUUGAUUUCACAAAAC
rnacentral:lncRNA from 1 species